AAAGGGCUUUCUGAUUACUUACCUGCCAGAAUAGCCACAUUAGCACAGACCAUGGGAGUGGAUUAAUCCAUCAUCAACUGUAGUCAUCUAAGAGAGAAAAUUUCCCUAGAAAAUAAAUCCAUCCUGUUGAGACUGAGGUGUUGUAAUGGAUGUACAGAUGACCCUUGAGCAACAAGAAUUUGAACUGCAAGUGUCUACAUAUAUGCGGAUUGUUUUCAACAGUAAACACUACAGUACUACAUGAUCCAUGGUUGGUAGUAUCCACAGAUGCCAAACCAUUGAUAUGGAUGAACCACUUAUACCGAAGACUGACUAUAAGUUAUACCUGGAUUUUCUAUUUUUUAAGGUGCUGUGCUGGAUGUGAUAAUCCAGAACAUUGGCAUUCUGUUCUGAAGGAACUGACAUCUGGGUGAAGGAUCCAGUCACGGACGAGAACCUGCAUGAAGCAAGAUAACUUUAAAAAAGGAAUACGCGGUAUGCGACGGUGAAGGGAGCACCUAUCACAACCUGGUGAGGUCAGUGUACCAGGCUGUUUUACAGGGAAGGUGUUGCUGAGCUGAGCCCUAAAGGAAAAGGCUUUGAAGAUCACUCACUUGUGCAAGGGAGGCCUGCCAGUGCAGGCAAAGGCCUGGAAACGUGAUCUGCUGACAGCUAUGAGGGUGUGUUAGAGAGUCUAUAUUGCUAGACUUUCAAGUGCAUAGGCGAAGAAGAGGGGCUCAUUCUCCCUGACUUUAUAGUGAUCGGAAGAUUAGACUUUAGUCCUAAAUUCAAAUUGCUUCAACCUUAAAACAGUUUGUAUCUAAGAGUUUGACUGAAGUCACAGUUCUUUUGUUCUUGAAUGCAAGAUGUUCUAGAAAUGGUCUCUAACCAGGUCUUUCACUUUGGGACAGGAAAUGUUCAAAGAGCAAAACUGUAAACCAUGGAGUCCUUCUGAGGAGGAAUGUUGUUUAUGCACCAGCGGAAGCCAAGGCUCAGCGAGCUUGUGGGUUGAGGGAGAAGGAGAUGGGGUUCAGGACCCUGGGUUCUGGCUUGUAUGGCUCCAGACUGCAGUGACUGGGGAGGGCUGUCCCAGAAGUGUUUCCUAGUCAUGAAGUAAAGUCAUAUGAGAGGCUGUCUCCUUCCCAACUGUUUCACUUUUAACCCAACACAACAAAUAGAAAGCAGAUUUCCCAGACACUACAGAAGAAGAUAAACAGCCUGAGGAAAACUGGACUUCUGCAAAUCAGCAUAGACUAGCUCUCAAAUACUUUACAUGAAUAACAAAUUAAAACAGCAGCCAAGCAGGACAAGGCAGAUGGGGGACUGGGUGGAAAACAGAAGCCUGGGCCGAAGAUAAGUACCUGAUAAAACCAUUCUUUUCAAAGAAUGCCAAGAACUCAGAUUUGAAGAUUAGCCUUGUCAACUUCUUAAGUCUCUGAUUCCUCUCAAGAAAAGAUGUGAUGAAUAGAUGAGUAAAUUAUAACGAGUUUUUUAGUAGUUGUUUAUAAGUUACUUAAAAGCAGUUCUUUCAUAUAUACACUACCAAACGUAAGGUAGAUAGCUAGUGGGAAGCAGCCGCAUAGCACAGGGAGAUCAGCUCAGUGCUCUGUGAUCGCCUG